GUAGUACUCCCUCCAUCCGGAAAUACUUUUCAUCAAAAUGAAUAAAAAGGGAUGUAUCUAAAUGUAUAUUAGUUCUAGAUACAUCUUUUUUAUCCAUUUUUAUGACAAGUAUUUUCGGACGGAGGGAGUACUUG
rnacentral:pre_miRNA from 1 species